rnacentral:lncRNA from 1 species
CUGGACAUAUAUUCCGCACCCCGUCACAGAUGUUAAAAUCAGUGGUGGUUGUAUGAAAUUUCUUGUCAGACUUACAUCGCAAGUCUCCGAGUAUUGAAAGUUGAGGUGUAGAGAUAAUGUAAUUUUUCACAUAUAUUCUGACCCAAUACCUUUGCGAAGUUCCUCUAUGACCCCUGAUGGGAAUGAAACAUAGGGAAUCCCUGAGGAACGGAUACCAUACAUGGAAGGCUUGCAGAUGGCUGCUGGUAGAUAGAUUGGGCAGGCCCCACAACUGUUUCAUUCUUAUCUCAGGCAUUCAUCUUUCCUUUUUUUUCUUUUUUGGCUGGAUUUUUAUUCAGUCCUUUUUUUUUGUUGUUGUUUUUUCCCUUAAUUUUUUCAUGCUUCAUAUGGAGGAACUUUGUACAAAAAUGUUCAGCAAGAGUUGUAAUGAUGUGAGGGUGUUGAUCCAAUACCUUCUACGAUGUAUGUGCCUAUUUGUUUGUAAGCAUUUGGGUAUUUUCCUAAAAUUGAGAUGUAAGAAAUGGAGAGACCACCUCACCCCCUCCCUUGAAAAGGUUUGUAGCUACUCUUAUAUCUUUGCUCCCCAGGAAAAAGCAUAUAGCUAACUCAAAAUCAACAGAGCAUCAGGAAUGAAGCACAAAGGAAAACAGAGAGAACAACAAAUUGUCCUUUUUAAAAAAAAUAAAAUAAAGUAUGGUUUUUUCCCCAUGCAUCACUGUAUUGCUAAAUGUAAGUCUGCUAACCAUUGUUUUAACCUCUCUGGACUGAAUAAAUUAUUUACUCAUUCAUCAGUGACACUAGUAGCUUUCUUUUGCGUCUUCUCUGCUAACUACAUAAUCAGCCUCUUCUGACCAAAUUUCUAGUGAACUGGCUUAAGCAUUUGUAGCUCGCUCAUGAGGUUUUAAGCCAACAGAACAACGAAGAAAUCACGCGCCAUAUUAUUUUUAUCGUUGCGACAUAUAAUGUUUUAUCGUUCUCUUUACCCCAAUAAUAUAUGAAUAUAUCAUUUUAAUACUACUUACAUUUGGAACAAGACAUCGAAGUGAAAUGUCCCAUUCCCUUUUUCAAUUCAAACACACUGGGCUCUGGCGAAAUGCUGAAAAAUGAAAACAAGAAUUUAAGUUUACUUCCAUUGUUAGAUACUGGUGUUAGAAGUUUGUAUCAGUUUACCUAUUUUUUUUGCUCUUUCGGAAUUCACAUGAUUAGCUCCACAAAAUGUUUCACUAAUUAAUGAAGCAAAUCCAUACAAGAAAUGCUAACCGUGCAAAACUCAUCUAUAAUUCCAAGUGGUCCUUUGCCUCAGUUGUUUUGUACAAGCUGUUUUUCUUGAAAGCUGGGAACUUUCUACCAACGAUGCUACGGAAAAAAGUACUAGAAAACAACAUUUUAUAUUAUAGAAACUGACUGCAGCACUGCAUGAGUAUUUAUGGGUCUCAUCACUCAUCUGACUUUUUCACACCAGUACCAGUUUCAGUCAAGUUAAUACACUACUAACUUGGAGCGUAUCAAAUCUGCCACAAAAUAAGUCCAAACACACUAUAAUUCCGAGAGCUUGAAGAUAACUCCAAUAUGUGAAGACAACAACAAUCACGAAAUUUUGAAGGAAUACCAACACCAAAACAGUAGCUACACAAGGAGAACAAGAAGAUAACAAUAACAUUAAAUGAUGGUUCAACAACACAAGAUGAUAGAUUACAAAGAGUACAAUGCAAAUAAGCCUUGACAGUUAGAAACACACAGUGAUUGUUUGAUUGAGUUUCUUCCCAGUAAGUUUCUCAUCAAACUCACUUUGAUACCAUAUGAGAAAUAUAAGAGAAUUGAAUCAUUGUAUCUAAAUUAUUACAUUGAUACCCUAUUAUAAACAUUACAUGGACUCCUUUUCCAAAUAGGAUACUGACAUUACAAUCCUCUUCCAAGUAAGAUUCUAUAUAAUAUUCUUAUUCCUACUCGUAUUCUAAUUAGUGUUGUAAAAGGCAAGCGCCUCGUCGUCAAUGGCGAGGCGAGGCGAGACCUGGUCGCCUUUUCAUGGCAUGGCGCUGCGACAUUCAAAAGGCGUUGUUUGCUAGAAAGGUGACAUGGCGACAAAGGCGUCGCCUUUUAUUUUUUUAUUUUUUUUAAUUAAGGUUUUAGGUAUAUAAGCUAAUUUUAGGACUUAUUUACCCGUUUUGGCUCUACCAACUUACUAAUUGGUGACUGCGGCUGCUACCAUUUAUCUCACAAUUUCGAUUCUGGCGACUCCCGCUACUCCGGUAAGCAGUGAACUACCGAUUUCUAUUUUUUUUCUUCUUUCUUCUUCUUCUUCUUAAUCCAGCGUCCAAUACUUGUGGUGUUUUUUGUUCUUGCUCUUUUUUCUUCUUCUAUUUUUCUUCUGGCUUCCACUAUAAUACUGUAUUCCGUAACAAUGUUACAACCUUACACUAUUACAGUAACCAGUAAGUUGUAGCAUUAUUAUGUAAUUUUUUUUCUAAUAACUUAUAUAAAAUUAACAUAGUAUGAUAGUAAUAUACUAAUUGAAUUGUUGAGUCAUUUAAGUUCCAGACUUUUAGUAUCUAUUUACUAUCUAUUUUUAAUUCUUGACUUGAAAUAUUUCCUAAUAUAUUAGUGUUAUUGAAAUUUUGAUCAUUUAUAUAUUAUUUUAAUUUUUUAUAUUAAUUGUCGCCGUACAUUCAAAAGGCGAUCGCCUCGCCGCUCGCCUUGCCGCAUGGCGAGGCAGGGCCUUGUCACCUCUUUGUCGCCUUUCGCCGUCCAAAACACUGAUUCUAACAGAGACAAGAAAUGUGACGAGACUUGGAAAUUCAUAUAGAAUUUUACCGCAAGUAGAAGAAAGUGUAUUUCACGUUACCUCAUGAUGAAGUCCUUGUCAACUCUGUGACACGUGGUAUAAUCAGGGAUACAAUUAUGGAUUAUUUCUGGUGUUAAUAACAAUUUGCUCAACUUUGUAACACUUAAGAGUAUUCUUAGGCUAAGUGUUAUAGUACGCGACCUACUAGGUUGCCUAAUUUAACUUAUUAAUUACUUAUGAGUGAAAUAAGUUGUCUAACGUAUUUCAACUUAGCUAAAGCAGUAUAAGUAGAUGAGACAAGUAUUUUCACGUGGAAAACAUCCGGUUCAAAAAGGUGUAAAAAACCACGACCCGUACCUCUACAAGAUUUCAUCCCAAACUUCACUAAACAGCUUUGAGCCUCGACAAAUUAUAAGACUUAUGUAAUCUAGGAAUUAUAAACUCUAACUCCUACUCAAUGCAUCUCACAAACCUCCCAAGGUAUGUGAUCCAAGUCUUCGAGUUCCCCAACUUGACAAUAAUCCUAACUCAGUUUAUACUUCGUUGAAACUAGAAUUACAUCAAUAUUACAACUCAAAAACCAACCCUAACACAUAGAAACUAAGACACCUUACUUUCUAAGUAAUAGAACCUGGUUCAACUACGUGUUCUCUCAAGCUGUGAACUGGUAAGUCAAUUAGUCAAUUGCCUUUUUCGUUGUAAGUGCGUGAGUGACUGAGCAAGUCACUCCCUAUAUUUAAACACAACUCUCCAAAGAGUUCUUCAUAUUAGACUUCUAUCUCAGGUGAAAUUCUUAACUCUUCAGAGUUUGCUGUGAAGUGAAACUCCUUCAAGUAGAACUCCUACUUCAACUCAACUGCUCUUCUCUUCAUGUAUUACAAUCAAACUCAAUGUCUUCUAUUCCGCACGUGAUGAUUGAUUUGAGUGUAUCACUGCAUCAACUUAUUCAUCCAUGAAACCAAGUGAUCUUGUCCCCUUCUAUUUGUGAACUCUUUGUGGCCUGUCCUCCUUUAGCCUGUAUGUCAGUGAACCACUUCAACUAACAUGUUUCAGCUUUCUUGUCAAUCAACAAAACUUCAUGAACUCCAACACUAAGAAACUCCCCCAUACAGCCUAUUGUAAGCUAUGUUUACUGUAAAAACACCCUAUUAUAAACUAUAUGUAUACUCAUUUUGAGCAAGGAAAUCUCACAGAGAAAUUCUUGGAAAGACACUGUAAUGGAGUAGUAUAUGAGCUACCAAGGUUAGCUAUAAGUGAACUAGCAGAGAGAAGAACCUAUGUAGGACGUAUCAUUGAUGACAGAAUCAAAUAAGAGAUAUAUGUGAAUACACCAAAUGCCCACUUCAAAACCAAACUUUCAAGGGAUCAUGGACUUAUUUGGUUCUGAAAGAUAGAUUUGGAAUGUCAAAAGAGGUGGUUCCUUCAUAUCUUGCUAAAUGUAGGAGAGGUCAAGUGCUAGAGCAUUGACAGUACUAGAGAGGAUCUUCUUGAUAGGUAGAAAGAGGAGGAUUUACGACUCAAAAGGAGCUUAUUGUGGUACUGAUACUUUAACAUGCAUGCCAAUUUAAUUUCCUUCAGUGUCGUUCUCAACCUCUGUCAAGUACUUGGUAAAUUCAAGAUGGAUAAUAAAUUUAAAACUUGAACGGGAGAUUUAAAGUGACUUGCAGACUUCCUUUAAUUAUCACUUAGUACCUCUACAAAUGUUAGAGUGGAUAAACACCCUAUUGAUGUAGUAAUUUCAAUUAGUUAAGCCAUGAUAAGCUUUUUCAAAUGCACCUUUCAAUUUGUUUCGACAUUACCAAGAUUCCUAGUUGGAGUAGCUAAUUCAAGGAACUGGUAUUUUUUCAAGGAAAACACUGGACAUUUUAAUUCUUUUCCUGUUACUGUAUUAUUGGGGCAUACCAUCUGAAUGGUAGAACCCUCAUAUUUUCUUUAUUUGUUAUCUUAGUGCCUAUUUAUGGAUUUCUCCAUGUUCAUUGUUAUAGAAUAUAGAUUUUGAGAAAGAACUUCUUGCAGGUAUCUAUACACGUAAACUUGUAGGUUUCUGUAGACAAAAUAAUUCCAGUUUUAAUGCUUUGACGUAUAGUUUUCUUUAUCCCAGAGAAUACUUGUAUUUUUCAUCAAAAUCUCUCCGGGUACUCUUAGUUUGUUUUACUUGUCUGCAUCUUUUGUUUGCAUCCUUGUUUGUGUUGAUACCCUCUGUUGCUUCUUCAGGAAGUAGAAGACAAAAUGAGAGGGUUACGACCUGCCAUGUUUGAAGAUUUUGUGAAGCCUCUCCAAAUAAACGUGGAGGAGGUAAUAUAAUAUUUGCAGAUUCUCAAUCUUCAUAUCUACUUUCCAGACUUUAUGUGAAGUCUUUAUAACAAUGCCGUUCUCCUUAACAGCAGUAAUACCAAUUUUUUGACUGUGUUACAAAUGUGAAGAUAGGGAUCAUAUCGAAUGUGUUCAAUGCAGCCCAGUUUCGUGUUUGCUGUUAUUUUGUUUUGAACAUGCUUUCAUAACGGGGAAUGGGGUUCUCAAAAUAGGCUAUUUUUUUUUGCUUAGUGAUUGAAUCACGGGCUACCUUCUUCCUUGUGAAUAUUUUAACUUGCGAUCUCAGCUAUCAUGCGGAUUUUUAUCAGGUUUCAUGGUUUUGAUUUUUCCUAUUAAACUGUGCCUAUAAAAUGUGUUAAAUUCUCAGGAAGGACCACUGCCUCAUAAUGACCGUUUGAGUUAUCGACCGCUGGACAUAUAUUCCGCACCCCGUCACAGAUGUUAAAAUCAGUGGUGGUUGUAUGAAAUUUCUUGUCAGACUUACAUCGCAAGUCUCCGAGUAUUGAAAGUUGAGGUGUAGAGAUAAUGUAAUUUUUCACAUAUAUUCUGACCCAAUACCUUUGCGAAGUUCCUCUAUGACCCCUGAUGGGAAUGAAACAUAGGGAAUCCCUGAGGAACGGAUACCAUACAUGGAAGGCUUGCAGAUGGCUGCUGGUAGAUAGAUUGGGCAGGCCCCACAACUGUUUCAUUCUUAUCUCAGGCAUUCAU